CGCGUGGUUCUAUUUUGUUGGUUUUUAGAACCGCCGUAAUGAUUAAUAGGGACAGUCGGGGGCAUCUGUAUUCAAUUGUCAGAGGUGAAAUUCUUGGAUCUAUUGAAGACAAACUACUGCGAAAGCAUUUGCCAAGGAUGUUUUCAUUGAUAAGGAACGAAAGUUAGGGGAUCGAAGACGAUCAGAUACCGUCGUAGUCUUAACUAUAAACUAUGCCGACUAGGGAUCGGACGAUGUUAUUUUUUGACUCGUUCGGCACCUUUCGAGAAAUCAAAGUGCUUGGGCUCCAGGGGGAGUAUGGUCGCAAGGCUGAAACUUAAAGAAAUUGACGGAAGGGCACCACCAGGGGUGGAACCUGCGGCUUAAUUUGACUCAACACGGGGAAACUCACCAGGUCCAGACACAGUGAGGAUUGACAGAUUGAUAGCUCUUUCUUGAUUCUGUGGGUGGUGGUGCAUGGCCGUUCUUAGUUGGUGGAGUGAUUUGUCUGCUUAAUUGCGAUAACGAACGAGACCUUAACCUGCUAAAUAGCCCGUUCUGCUCCGGCAGUACGCUGGCUUCUUAGAGGGACUAUCGGCUCAAGCCGAUGGAAGUUUGAGGCAAUAACAGGUCUGUGAUGCCCUUAGAUGUCCUGGGCCGCACGCGCGUUACACUGACAAAGCCAGCGAGUAUUUCCUUAGCCGGAAGCUUGAGUAUCUUGUUAAACUUUGUCGUGC
rnacentral:rRNA from 1 species